AGCGAACGCUGGCGGCAGGCUUAACACAUGCAAGUCGAACGCCAUCUUCGGAUGGAGUGGCAGACGGGUGAGUAACGCGUGGGAACGUACCCUUUGGUUCGGAAUAUUCUCGGGAAACUGAGAGCAAUACCGGAUAAGCCCUACGGGGGAAAGAUUUAUCGCCAAAGGAGCGGCCCGCGUCAGAUUAGGUAGUUGGUGGGGUAAAGGCCUACCAAGCCGACGAUCUGUAGCUGGUCUGAGAGGACGACCAGCCACACUGGGACUGAGACACGGCCCAGACUCCUACGGGAGGCAGCAGUGGGGAAUUUUGGACAAUGGGCGCAAGCCUGAUCCAGCCAUGCCGCGUGCGGGAAGAAGGCCUCGGUUGUAAACCGCUUUGUCAGGGAAGAAACGGUCUGAACUAAUAACUUUGGGUCGUAAUGACGGUACCGUGAAGAAUAAGACACCGGCUAACUAACGUG
rnacentral:rRNA from 1 species